UCCACUGAAGACUGGCCCGGCGGGCAUCUAGCCAGCCCGCAGUGAUUCGACGAAGGCAACUUUUUCGGCACCAAAGGGACUGGUGGACUGUACUCCAACUCCCUGAUAGCUGUAUAAGAAUAGCUGACGGCCCCUAAGUAGAUGUCAGCGUUCGGAAGCUCGAGUCGUAAAAGUCUUACAACAUCAGCACAGCCUGCAUUGGUGGCUGCGCCGAAGAAACAUGUUUGGAGUGAAGCCCUCGGGAGCGCCAGGCUUCAGUCUCAGGUUUUUAUUUCUUCGCCAACUACCUUAUUGUCUCGCACCGCACUUCCAUCAGGAGUGCCAGGUGAUAGUUGGCAGAAGAAAAUGUUACACCGGGAAGAAACCCAGUGCCGGUUUGCUGAAGUUGACGCAGAUGUGCCUGAACUUUGAAUGUCAAUGCACGCUUCUCGUGGGCCUGUUUCUGGCCCCCGGCUCUCAGACAGUUCCAUGUGUCAUGUUUGAGCAUCUAUAGCCUCUGGGAACACUGCAGCUCCAGAAACAUUUUGUGUACACCCGAUAAUAUAUCUUUCCCAUUAAUUACACAGCUGAAGACACGUCCACUAUGAAACUGUAAGCUCCACUGAAACAGUAAGGAAGCUCAUCUCAAUAAAACUCUCCCGACUCAUUUGCUUUA